AACGUAGGUGGCAAGCGUUAUCCGGAUUCACUGGGCGUAAAGCGCGUGCAGGUGGCUCUGUAAGUUGGAUGUUAAAUCUUCCGGCCUAACCGGGAGUGGUCAUUCAAUACUGCGGGGCUUGAGGGCAGAAGAGGGGGGUGGAAUUGCCGGUGUAGUGGUGAAAUGCGUAGAUAUCGGCAGGAACACCUAUGGCGAAAGCGGCCCCCUGGUCUGCUCCUGACACUCAGACGCGAAAGCUAGGGUAGUGAACGGGAUUAGAAACCCCGGUAAUCCUAGCCGUAAACGAUGGAUGCUAGGUGUAGGUGGUAUUGACCCCAUCUGUGCCGAAGCUAACGCGUUAAGCAUCCCGCCUGGGGACUACGGCCGCAAGGUUAAAACUCAAAGGAAUUGACGGGGACCCGCACAAGCAGCGGAGCGUGUGGUUUAAUUCGAUGCUACACGAAGAACCUUACCCAGGUUUGACAUACAGGUAGUAGUGAAGCGAAAGCGGAACGAUCCUUCGGGAAGCCUGAACAGGUGCUGCAUGGCUGUCGUCAGCUCGUGCCGUGAGGUGUUUGGUUAAGUCCACUAACGAGCGCAACCCCUGUCGUCAGUUACAUGUGUCUGGCGAGACUGCCGGUCUUAAACCGGAGGAAGGUGGGGAUGACGUCAAGUCAGCAUGGCCUUUAUAUCUGGGGCUACACACACGGUACAAUGGCCGGCACAAUGGGUUGCCAACCCGCGAGGGGGAGCUAAUCCUAUAAAGCCGGUCUCAGUUCGGAUUGUAGGCUGCAACCCGCCUGCAUGAAGCCGGAGUUGGUAGUAAACGCGCGUCAGCCAUAGUGCGUUGAAUACGUUCCCGGGUAUUGUACACACCGCCCGUCACGUCAUGGGAGCUGGUAACACCUGAAGCCGGUGCGCUACCCGUAAGGAGGCAGCCGUCGAGGGUGGGACUGGUGACUGGGAAG
rnacentral:rRNA from 1 species